rnacentral:rRNA from 1 species
AAAUUGAAGAGUUUGAUCAUGGCUCAGAUUGAACGCUGGCGGCAGGCCUAACACAUGCAAGUCGAACGGUAACAGGAAGCAGCUUGCUGCUUCGCUGACGAGUGGCGGACGGGUGAGUAAUGUCUGGGAAACUGCCUGAUGGAGGGGGAUAACUACUGGAAACGAUAGCUAAUACCGCAUAACGUCGCAAGACCAAAGAGGGGGACCUUCGGGCCUCUUGCCAUCGGAUGUGCCCAGAUGGGAUUAGCUUGUUGGUGGGGUAA